rnacentral:rRNA from 1 species
UACAGAGGGUGCAAGCGUUAAUCGGAGUUACUGGGCGUAAAGGGCGCGUAGGUGGUUAUUUAAGUUUGAUGUGAAAUCCCUGGGCUUAACCUAGGAACUGCAUUGAAUACUGGGUAACUUGAGUACUGUAGAGGGUAGUGGAAUUUCCGGUGUAGCGGUGAAAUGCGUAGAGAUCGGAAGGAACACCAGUGGCGAAGGCGGCUACCUGGACAGAUACUGACACUGAGGCGCGAAAGCGUGGGGAUCAAACAGG